AUUUAAAUAAUUUAAAAAAAAAUAUUGAUUUGUGGAAUCUAAAAUAUGAACUAAAUUUCAUUUUAAAUU
rnacentral:tRNA from 1 species